GAUGAAGAACGCAGCGAAAUGCGAUAAGUAAUGUGAAUUGCAGAAUUCAGUGAAUCAUCGAAUCUUUGAACGCACAUUGCGCCCGCGAGUAUUCUCGCGGGCAUGCCUGUCCGAGCGUCAUUUCAACCCUCAGGGCCCGCCUGCUUGCAGGCGCGGCGCUGGUGUUGGGGAUCGGCUACCCUGCCGUCCCCCAAAUACAGUGGCGGUCUCGCUGCAGCCUCCCCUGCGUAGUAGCAACACUCGCAUGCGGAGCGCGGCGUGGCCACGCCGUAAAACCCCCGACUUUCUGAACGUUGACCUCGGAUCAGGUAGGAAUACCCGCUGAACUUAAGCAUAUCAAUAAGCGGAGGA
rnacentral:misc_RNA from 1 species